UGUAUUAAAAAUCUCAAAUGCGGAAGCGUAAUAAAAAUUUUGAUUAACAUCCCUUACACAAUAACCAAAAUGUACUCAAAACAUGAAGGAACAAACUAACUAAAAGAGAUACUCGAAAUAAGAACUAUAAAUAUAACUAUGAAGUCUUUAGGCGUCCCCUUCGCCGUCUUCCUGCGGAACGGGCUCGGGAACAACGUCUUCCUGAUCUGAAAUGGUUAAAUAAGGAAUGAGCUACACCAGCCCAGUAAAGACAUCACACUAUCUCACCGCCACGGAAGUAAAGGUGGGUAGAAAACAAAAAUGACCAAUGGAGCAUAAUUUAUAACAAACUCGUUUAUUAACAUAAAAAACUUUACUGUCCACUUACCUCGGUGAGAUCCAUGAAAACAACAUAUGAAAGCAAUAACAUUAUCAUCAUCAUGAAAUCAUAUAGACUUUAUAAUAUAACACUUACCACGCCUUUGCAUUUCAAUUAUUAAACAACAUAUUUUCCUCUUN
rnacentral:lncRNA from 1 species